UACGGAGGGUGCAAGCGUUAUCCGGAUUCACUGGGUUUAAAGGGUGUGUAGGCGGGUAUUUAAGGCAGUGGUGAAAUCUCCAGGCUCAACCUGGAAACUGCCAUUGAUACUAUUUAUCUUGAAUUCUGUUGAGGUGGGCGGAAUACAUCAUGUAGCGGUGAAAUGCUUAGAUAUGAUGUAGAACACCGAUUGCGAAGGCAGCUCACUAAACAGACAUUGACGCUGAGGCACGAAAGCGUGGGGAUCAAACAGG
rnacentral:rRNA from 1 species